GACGAACGCUGGCGGCGUGCUUAACACAUGCAAGUCGAACGGAAAGGCCCUGCUUUUGUGGGGUGCUCGAGUGGCGAACGGGUGAGUAACACGUGAGUAACCUGCCCUUGACUUUGGGAUAACUUCAGGAAACUGGGGCUAAUACCGGAUAGGAGCUCCUGCUGCAUGGUGGGGGUUGGAAAGUUUCGGCGGUUGGGGAUGGACUCGCGGCUUAUCAGCUUGUUGGUGGGGUAGUGGCUUACCAAGGCUUUGACGGGUAGCCGGCCUGAGAGGGUGACCGGCCACGUUGGGACUGAGAUACGGCACAGACUCCUACGGGAGGCAGCAGUGGGGUAUAUUGCACAAUGGGCGGAAGCCUGAUGCAGCAACGCCGCGUGCGGGAUGACGGCCUUCGGGUUGUAAACCGCUUUCGCCUGUGACGAAGCGUGAGUGACGGUAAUGGGUAAAGAAGCACCGGCUAACUACGUG
rnacentral:rRNA from 1 species